UUAAGUUCAGCGGGUAAUCCCACCUGAUUUCAGAUCAAAUUUAAAAGAGAUCUAUUUGGGAGGCCCCAUCAAAGUCAAUUACAAGAGCUUUCCUUUAUAUUAAAAAAGUUCAGGCAUUAAACAAGUUCAGGCCUUAGUAAAUUUCAAGGGUUUCAAGAUCUAUACAGAUCGAGAGGCCCCCAAUAAUCCUAUACAACAAA
rnacentral:misc_RNA from 1 species